rnacentral:rRNA from 1 species
UACGUAGGGGGCGAGCGUUGUCCGGAAUCAUUGGGCGUAAAGCGCGUGUAGGCGGCCCGGUAAGUCCGCUGUGAAAGUCCAGGGCUCAACCCUGGGAUGCCGGUGGAUACUGUCGGGCUCGAGUCCGGAAGAGGCGAGUGGAAUUCCUGGUGUAGCGGUGAAAUGCGCAGAUAUCAGGAGGAACACCGAUGGCGAAGGCAGAUCUCUGGGCCGUAACUGACGCUGAGGAGCGAAAGCGUGGGGAGCGAACAGG